GGUAAAUGGAGGAAAACCAUCCCGGAGCAAUCACUAAAGCAGCAAGGAAGAAGUAGCACAGAUUGGCGUUCUCCUCUGUAUGGAUGGAGACAGUGACCUCCUGCUCAUCAUGCCACCUUGAAGCUUCCUGGAGCAUCAAAUGCCUGGACCCUGAAAUAGUGACACAGACUUCUGCUUGUGAUUUGUAGCUGGGACUCGGAGCCCCAGCUUUGGCUUCCAGAAUCUCUGAAUUGACACUGAAUGCAGUUUGCUGGUAAUGAGAUCCAUCAGAGAUGACAUGAGGAAGCCUCAGAGAAGGGUGCCACGAGAACAUGGCCUCUAAACUGUUGCAUGGAGAGUGGCUGGAGGUGCUGGGGACUCAGUAUGGUCUAUCCUGGUUUGGGUGAACAGACUGGCUUACUGAGCUACUAAGCAUCCAAGGU
rnacentral:lncRNA from 1 species